GUCGAACGAGAGCGACCGGUGCUUGCACUGGUCAAUCUAGUGGCGAACGGGUGAGUAACACGUGGGUAACCUGCCCAUCAGAGGGGGAUAACAUUCGGAAACGGAUGCUAAAACCGCAUAGGUCCUUUAACCGCAUGGUUGAAGGAGGAAAAGAGGCGCAAGCUUCUGCUGAUGGAUGGACCCGCGGUGCAUUAGCUAGUUGGUGAGGUAACGGCUCACCAAGGCCGUGAUGCAUAGCCGACCUGAGAGGGUGAUCGGCCACAUUGGGACUGAGACACGGCCCAAACUCCUACGGGAGGCAGCAGUAGGGAAUCUUCCGCAAUGGACGCAAGUCUGACGGAGCAACGCCGCGUGAGUGAAGAAGGUUUUCGGAUCGUAAAACUCUGUUGUUAGAGAAGAACAAGUGCUAGAGUAACUGUUAGCGCCUUGACGGUAUCUAACCAGAAAGCCACGGCUAACUACGUGCCAGCAGCCGCGGUAAUACGUAGGUGGCAAGCGUUGUCCGGAUUUAUUGGGCGUAAAGCGAGCGCAGGCGGUUCCUUAAGUCUGAUGUGAAAGCCCCCGGCUCAACCGGGGAGGGUCAUUGGAAACUGGGGAACUUGAGUGCAGAAGAGGAGAGUGGAAUUCCAUGUGUAGCGGUGAAAUGCGUAGAUAUAUGGAGGAACACCAGUGGCGAAGGCGACUCUCUGGUCUGUAACUGACGCUGAGGCUCGAAAGCGUGGGUAGCAAACAGGAUUAGAUACCCUGGUAGUCCACGCCGUAAACGAUGAGUGCUAAGUGUUGGAGGGUUUCCGCCCUUCAGUGCUGCAGUUAACGCAU
rnacentral:rRNA from 1 species